UACUUAGUAGCUUUGUGUCCUGUUUGUGAAAGGAGCAUAAUGAUUAUACAAGGAAUGAACAAUUAUGAAAUUUGUUUUUGUACCAUAGUGCAAUAUUGUUAAAUGUUUGGAAUGAUGGCAUAUUGGCAGUAUGUUACGGUGGAAAAUUGAUAUCUCCCAUACAAAGGCUAUGGCAUGGCAUUUUGUUAUGACAGGCCAUGAUGCCUGCAAUGUCCGUGGUGCCUAAUGUGCUUAUGACAGAAAUGAAAAAACUUCACACACAGAAAUGGUGGAGCUGACCCAACUAUUUUCAUGGUAUAACCCAUCACCAAAUGUUGUUUGAAACCCUAAAGCAGUAAAAUACUUGUUCAGCCAGCAACCCAUAUUCUGGCUACCUACCGUUAUUGGUUUAUUUCUUUGUUUUUGUCCCUUUUCUCUUCCAUUUUCUGACCAGCUUCUCCAAUGACCCUCCUCUUUUUGUUUCAAUCAAUUCUGUCUCCGUUUUUUUAAUUCUGUUACUCUGCUUUUUUCUUGGGCUCUAGGGCUCCAUCCCACUGCAUUCUGCCCCCUUGCAAUCUAGUUCUCUU
rnacentral:lncRNA from 1 species